UUUGUAUCGGCAUCGGAGUCUAACGAAUUUGCGCGAAAUCGCAGAAUAAGUGGAAUAUCUCAGAAUGAUGCAACUGCGGUUGGCGCAAAGUGCUUUAAAGGGUACCAAAGGGUUGGUGGGGUAUGCCGAAAGUUGGGGGGUAAAUGAGAAGAGGAUGGAGGUCCGCCCAACAUCAAGCAUAAUAUAAAUGCAGCAUUGCGAAAGUAAAAUUUUUGAUUUGUAGAAUUGUUCGUUUCGUUUCGAUGUACGCUUUUAAAUAAAUUUGCUAACGCUUA